GUAGUACUUCCUUCGUCUAGAAUUACUUGUCACGAAAAUGAAUGUAUCUAGACAUAUUUUAAUUCUAGAUACAUUCAUAUUUAAGACAAGUAAUUUCGAACGAAGAGGGUAUGUA
rfam:Triticum urartu cultivar G1812 contig896828, whole genome shotgun sequence.